rnacentral:rRNA from 1 species
AUUGAACGCUGGCGGAAUGCUUUACACAUGCAAGUCGAACGGCAGCACGGACUUCGGUCUGGUGGCGAGUGGCGAACGGGUGAGUAAUGUAUCGGAACGUGCCCAGUCGUGGGGGAUAACGUAGUGAAAAUUACGCUAAUACCGCAUACGAUCUAUGGAUGAAAGCGGGGGACCGCAAGACCUCGCGCGAUCGGAGCGGCCGAUAUCAGAUUAGGUAGUUGGUGGGGUAAAGGCCCACCAAGCCAACGAUCUGUAGCUGGUCUGAGAGGACGACCAGCCACACUGGAACUGAGACACGGUCCAGACUCCUACGGGAGGCAGCAGUGGGGAAUUUUGGACAAUGGGCGAAAGCCUGAUCCAGCCAUUCCGCGUGCAGGAUGAAGGCCCUCGGGUUGUAAACUGCUCUUGUACAGAACGAAAAGGUUUCUACUAAUACUAGGAGCUCAUGACGGUACUGUAAGAAUAAGCACCGGCUAACUACGUGCCAGCCGCCGCUGUAA